CUACGGGUUGCUGCAGUGGGGAAUCUUAGACAAUGGGGGAAACCCUGAUCUAGCCAUGCCGCGUGAGCGACGACGGCCCUAGGGUUGUAAAGCUCUUUCAGCAGGGAAGAUAAUGACGGUACCUGCAGAAGAAGUCCCGGCUAACUCCGUGCCAGCAGCCGCGGUAAUACGGAGGGGACUAGCGUUGUUCGGAAUUACUGGGCGUAAAGCGCGCGUAGGCGGUUUGUUAAGUCGGGGGUGAAAUCCCGGGGCUCAACCCCGGAACUGCCCUCGAUACUGGCAGUCUUGAGUUCGAGAGAGGUGAGUGGAAUUCCGGGUGUAGAGGUGAAAUUCGUAGAUAUUCGGAGGAACACCAGUGGCGAAGGCGGCUCACUGGCUCGAUACUGACGCUGAGGUGCGAAAGCGUGGGGAGCAAACAGGAUUAGAUACCCCCGUAGUC
rnacentral:rRNA from 1 species